AUCUCGCAGUUCACUCAAGGCUGGUUGCAGCAGGGUGCUACGGAGGCUCAACCCCCUGUCCUCAAUGAGUGAAUUUGAGGAUAGCGUCUGUGCAACGUUGAUAAAAAUCCCAUUUUAACUCAGAAGCGAAGCUCGUCACCUUCAGACUCGGGCAGUGAAGGAAUGUGUGGUAAAGGCUCGAGCUGAAGGCCCAGGUGGGAAUUAUUGUUAAGUGUAGAGAAUGAAAACCAGAAUAGAAGUCAGUAUGCAGGUCCAGACUGAAGGAGAGGGAGAGAAGGGAGAGGGUUCACCUGACACUCUCGUGGGACAUGUGUCUCUAUUGUGUUAGGGGGCUAAAAUCAGCACAGAAGGAAAUCUAGAGCCAAAUUCCGAUGUGUUCCGAGGCGCUGCAGAGGGAUCUGUUAGAGAAAUUAGUGAACAACAACACCCACACGGAGCAGAGCUCACCUCCUCCUGUUUGGUGAGUCGGGGUAGACUGUUUGUCAGGCUCAGAGAGGACAGAAGCAGGAACAGAGGGUCAUGGCUGAUCAUGGGGACUUCGGGAAGUCGUGAGCAUCGGACAUGUUACCUGAAGAAGAUUUACCUCCUGAGAGGAGAGAGGAGCAAAGACAAGUGAGCACAGGCGGUGCGCCUCUAAAAUCAACACAGGAAGCCCCUCCAUCACACGACCACGUUAGUGGAGGAAAUGCCCUCCCUGAUGACUCCAUUAACACCCAGCCUCUGCCUGCUGCAGCUCCUGCAGGAGGGGAGGCUUCACCGGAUGCCGUAACAUUUAAGAAACCUCUACAGGAGCAGCAAAAGCCCACCUGCGGCCUCACAGCACCCGACAAUGAAGUCCCUCCUCCGUAUCCAGGCCUGGAACAACAGCAGGGGUCACGAUCGGUGGUCCACAGCAGGAAGAGCAGGAGCAGCAGGAGCAAAGUGGCAGCAUCACAGCAACCUGCUGCCUCAGCUGCCGACUGUUGCUUACAGCUGCUGUUGGCGUGUCUCUCCUGUCAGGGCUCUGUGCUCCUCCUGGGGCUGGGGGAGGCCUGCUCCUCCUGUCUCCAUGCUCUCUGCUCGCCCUGCUGUCACGCCUGCGCCGUGUGCUGCUCAGCCCUGCAGGAGGCGCCUGUGGAGGAGCUCAGCUGCCACGCCCACUGCCACAGGGUGCUGUUUGGGUCGUGCUGUGAGCCCAUUGAAUGCCUGGAGUUUUGUCUGGAGUGCUGCGAGAUCUGCCAUCGCGGUUAG
rnacentral:lncRNA from 1 species